AUUGAACGCUGGCGGCGUGCUUAACACAUGCAAGUCGAACGCGAAAGGGACUUCGGUCCUGAGUAAAGUGGCGCACGGGUGAGUAACACGUGGAUAAUCUGCCCUUAUGAUUGGAAUAACAGUUGGAAACGGCUGCUAAUACCGGAUACGCUCAAAAUGAACUUUUUGAGGAAAGAUGGCCUCUGCUUGCAUGCUAUCGCAUAAGGAUGAGUCAGCGUCCCAUUAGCUUGUUGGCGGGGUAACGGCCCACCAAGGCAACGAUGGGUAGCCGAUUUGAGAGGAUGAUCGGCCACACUGGAACUGAAACACGGUCCAGACUCCUACGGGAGGCAGCAGUGGGGAAUAUUGCGCAAUGGGCGAAAGCCUGACGCAGCGACGCCGCGUGAGGGAUGAAGGUUUUCGGAUCGUAAACCUCUGUCAGAAGGGAAGAAACUACGCUGUGCUAAUCAGCAACGUACUGACGGUACCUUCAAAGGAAGCACCGGCUAACUCCGUGCCAGCCGCCGCCGUAA
rnacentral:rRNA from 1 species